rnacentral:tRNA from 1 species
GCCGCAGUGGCGGAACUGGCAGACGCGCACGCUUCAGAAGCGUGUUUCCUUAAAACGGAAGUAGAGGUUCAACUCCUCUCUGCGGCA